AUUGAACGCUGGCGGAAUGCUUUACACAUGCAAGUCGAACGGCAGCACGGACUUCGGUCUGGUGGCGAGUGGCGAACGGGUGAGUAAUACAUCGGAACGUGCCCAAUCGUGGGGGAUAACGUAGCGAAAGCUACGCUAAUACCGCAUACGAUCUAAGGAUGAAAGCGGGGGAUCGCAAGACCUCGCGCGAUUGGAGCGGCCGAUGGCAGAUUAGGUAGUUGGUAGGGUAAAGGCCUACCAAGCCGACGAUCUGUAGCUGGUCUGAGAGGAUGAUGAGCCACACUGGGACUGAGACACGGCCCAGACGCCUACGGGAGGCAGCAGUGGGGAAUUUUGGACAAUGGACGCAAGUCUGGUCCAGCCAUUCCGCGUGCAGGAUGAAGGCCCUCGGGUUGUAAACUGCUUUUGUACAGAACGAAAAGGCUCUGGUUAAUACCUAGGGCUCAUGACGGUACUGUAAGAAUAAGCACCGGCUAACUACGUGCCAGCCGCCGCAGUAA
rnacentral:rRNA from 1 species